rnacentral:rRNA from 1 species
GACGAACGCUGGCGGCGUGCUUAACACAUGCAAGUCGAACGGAAAGGCCCCUUUGGGGGUACUCGAGUGGCGAACGGGUGAGUAACACGUGAGUAACCUGCCCUUGACUUCGGGAUAACUUCAGGAAACUGGGGCUAAUACCGGAUAGGAAUCCUUGCUGCAUGGUGGGGGUUGGAAAGCUUCGGCGGUUUUGGAUGGACUCGCGGCUUAUCAGCUUGUUGGUGGGGUAGUGGCUUACCAAGGCUUUGACGGGUAGCCGGCCUGAGAGGGCGACCGGCCACAUUGGGACUGAGGUACGGCCCAGACUCCUACGGGAGGCAGAAGUGGGGAAUAUUGCACAAUGGGCGGAAGCCUGAUGCAGCAACGCCGCGUGCGGGAUGACGGCCUUCGGGUUGUAAACCGCUUUCAGCAGGGGCGAAGCUUGUGGUGACGGUACCUGCAGAAGAAGCACCGGCUAACUACGUG